AACGAAAUCUCAAAAGAAAACAAAUCUAGGUCUCCUUCUCCCGUCUCCGGCUCUCCGCGUCGCCGUUCGCCUCCCCGCCGUGUUCGCGCCGCCCUGCCCCUCCCCGCCGUUCCGAGCCUCCCCGCCCUGCCCAGCGCCGCCGACACCUUUCCUGCGACGAGGACCGCCGCCGGCCGCGAGGAUGCAGUUCUUGCGCCGUCCCGCCCUGCCCAGCGCCGCCACACCUUUCCUGCGAGGACCGCCGCCCGCGAGGAUGCGGUCUCGGUGACCGUGCCUGGAACCAUGGCAGCGGCGGGGUCCGUCUUCUACUCGUGGUGACUCCCUGUCUCCCUCCCUGUGGUGACCGCCCCCUUCUAGUUCAUCCUCUCUCCCUCUCAGUCUUCUCUAGCUCUCUCUCAAUCCAUAUGGGUCUCGGGAUGUGCUAGAUGGUCUGGGAUUUAGGUUUUUUUAAUUUAUUUUGCUAUGUGCCAAAUUCCCCAAUCCAUCCAAGCUCUUUACAGGUCUUGAUCCCAUUUAUCCAACCAUCUGCUCUAUAUAUUUAUGCGAUUUCAGGUGUCAACAUAGAUUUAAUCGCAUGAUUUUUCCCGGAGCUUUUCAGGUUUCACACUCACUCUGAAACUUUGAUCUUAUCGUCAGAGUAUAUAAAGAAAAAGACAAUCUACACUCUUCACAGGUCCUGGUCUCAUAUAUACUUGCCUUUCUCUCUUCGAUUUUAGCAUGUACUGUAUGUAUAUUCCCAGCUCUAUUUGUAGUGUUUUAUGUGUCUGUUUACCUUGUAGGCAUUCCGUGAGAGAAAAAGUGUCCUGGUCUCAUCUAUCCUUGCCUUGCUCUCUUCGAUUUUAUCACCUACUCUAUGUAUAUUCCGUCCAGUUCUAUUUGUUCUGUUUUAUGUGUUUUUGUUACCUUGUAGGCAUUCCAUGGGAGAAGAAUCAACAAGGUUUCUACAUCAGUUAAUUUGAUUGGUCCAGCAAUCCCGUUCCUAUCAUUGAAGUAUUACCACACCAUCUGAAUGCCCUGGCAUUGAUGACCACUCAGGUACUAAAUUCCAACAGCAAAUUUACUAUUUUGCAAGCUCCAAUUUUAUACUCCAGUAUAUUACUCUGUGCCAUAUUACUAAGAAAGCUCAAAUGCCAAUGAGUUACCAGUCUGCAAUCUCCAAUUGUAUACUCCAGUAUAUUACUCUGUGCCAAAUUAGUUACAUGCAAACAAACUUCGAUGUGUCCCCUACGAAUACUAUCACCAUCUGUAACUAUAAGCAGCAUCUAUAUCACUCAGUCUAUUUUGUUAAAAAACUUUAUAUGUACAAGUGGAUUGAUGUUUUCAGCAGUAAAUGGCGACAUUGAUACUUGUUUAAGGAUUUUUAUUUUCUUUCCAUGCUUCCAGCUGGUAGACAAAAUAACCGAGCAAGCAGAAAGCUAAACUGACCAAGAUUCCUUAUUCCUGUAUGUUUUUUGAAGUGGUCACCAGCAGCUAUCUAACAAUGAACUUGUUGUUUCCUCAAUAAAAAAAACUAUGAACUUAUUUCUCAUUUCCUUUUACCCACUGAAGCUUAUAUUGCUCAUAGCACUUUGUAUCUCUAAUAAAUUGUUUAAUGUCAAUGUUUCGUCUGAUAGAAACAGUGUGAUAAAUGUUCAUCGAGUAUUAUUACAUAAAUUCUUUGAAGCGAAUCUAGUAAUAGCUUGCUGCCGCCUCCUGUAUAUCAUUUUGUAGAUGUGCUACCUUUGUCACCAUCCCUCUGUAGGUAUGUUGCUAUCUCCAAUUUGAUAUCUUCUUAUCUUUUGAGUACAACUUCUGCAUAGGUGAUUACUAUAUUUAUUUAUCUUGCAUUAAAAAUUACAUGGAAAUCUCUUAUCAUAUCACUUUGUGUAGUGAUUCAGGAGAUGACAUAAGGAAAUCUCCUUCCAGCUGUGAGUUUAGGUUCAAGAAUGAUAUUGCUCCUUGGAGAAGAGGAUGUGAUUAAAGACAUGCUUACAACUGUAUGCUGCUGUAAAGAGUGUAUUUUUUUGGUGUAAUGGUGCUUUUUUUUGGGUGUAGCAACAACACUUGCUACUGAUCACGAACAUGUUACUUGAAUGAAAACUGAGAUUGGCUAAAUUCAUUUGUGUUA